AUGGCCAAGGCUUGCGUACUCCGCGGUGCCGUGCUGAUGGUGUGCGCGCUCCUGCUUCUCUCGUCUGCUUUCGUGGCAGCUGAGCGGGCUGGCCAACAAUGGGAUAAUGGGAGAAAGGCCACGGUGACGGCAUCGACAAUGGCGACAGGGCAUUUGGUGAGGAAGGUGCUGCGGGAGGAGGUGGUCCAGGCAAACAACGACGGUGUCGUCCACAUUGGCGGCUCUAAGAGGAAGAGUCCCGGUGGCCCAGACCCGCAGCAUCAUUAA
rnacentral:rRNA from 1 species